AGAGUUUGAUCCUGGCUCAGAUUGAACGCUGGCGGCAGGCCUAACACAUGCAAGUCGAACGGUAGCACAGAGAGCUUGCUCUCGGGUGACGAGUGGCGGACGGGUGAGUAAUGUCUGGGAAACUGCCUGAUGGAGGGGGAUAACUACUGGAAACGGUAGCUAAUACCGCAUAAUGUCGCAAGACCAAAGAGGGGGACCUUCGGGCCUCUUGCCAUCAGAUGUGCCCAGAUGGGAUUAGCUAGUAGGUGGGGUAACGGCUCACCUAGGCGACGAUCCCUAGCUGGUCUGAGAGGAUGACCAGCCACACUGGAACUGAGACACGGUCCAGACUCCUACGGGAGGCAGCAGUGGGGAAUAUUGCACAAUGGGCGCAAGCCUGAUGCAGCCAUGCCGCGUGUAUGAAGAAGGCCUUCGGGUUGUAAAGUACUUUCAGCGGGGAGGAAGGUGUUGCGGUUAAUAACCGCAGCAAUUGACGUUACCCGCAGAAGAAGCACCGGCUAACUCCGUGCCAGCAGCCGCGGUAAUACGGAGGGUGCAAGCGUUAAUCGGAAUUACUGGGCGUAAAGCGCACGCAGGCGGUCUGUCAAGUCGGAUGUGAAAUCCCCGGGCUCAACCUGGGAACUGCAUUCGAAACUGGCAGGCUGGAGUCUUGUAGAGGGGGGUAGAAUUCCAGGUGUAGCGGUGAAAUGCGUAGAGAUCUGGAGGAAUACCGGUGGCGAAGGCGGCCCCCUGGACAAAGACCGACGCUCAGGUGCGAAAAGCGUGGGGAGCAAACAGGGAUUAGAUACCCUGGUAGUCCACGCCGUAAAACGAUGUCGAUUUGGAGGUUGUGCCCUUGAGGCGUGGCUUCCGGAGCUAACGCGUUAAAUCGACCGCCUGGGGAGUACGGCCGCAAGGUUAAAACUCAAAUGAAUUGACGGGGGCCCGCACAAGCGGUGGAGCAUGUGGUUUAAUUCGAUGCAACGCGAAGAACCUUACCUGGUCUUGACAUCCACAGAACUUUCCAGAGAUGGAUUGGUGCCUUCGGGAACUGUGAGACAGGUGCUGCAUGGCUGUCGUCAGCUCGUGUUGUGAAAUGUUGGGUUAAGUCCCGCAACGAGCGCAACCCUUAUCCUUUGUUGCCAGCGGUUAGGCCGGGAACUCAAAGGAGACUGCCAGUGAUAAACUGGAGGAAGGUGGGGAUGACGUCAAGUCAUCAUGGCCCUUACGACCAGGGCUACACACGUGCUACAAUGGCGCAUACAAAGAGAAGCGACCUCGCGAGAGCAAGCGGACCUCAUAAAGUGCGUCGUAGUCCGGAUUGGAGUCUGCAACUCGACUCCAUGAAGUCGGAAUCGCUAGUAAUCGUAGAUCAGAAUGCUACGGUGAAUACGUUCCCGGGCCUUGCACACACCGCCCGUC
rnacentral:rRNA from 1 species